GACAGAGGGUGCAAACGUUGCUCGGAAUCACUGGGCGUAAAGGGCGUGUAGGCGGGAAGGAAAGUCAGAUGUGAAAUCCCCAGGCUCAACCUGGGAACUGCAUUUGAAACUCCCUUUCUUGAGUACCGGAGAGGAAAGUGGAAUUCCUGGUGUAGAGGUGAAAUUCGUAGAUAUCAGGAGGAACACCUGGCGGUGUAGACGGCUUACUGGACCAUAACUGACGCUGAGGCACGAAAGCGUGGGUAGCAAACAGG
rnacentral:rRNA from 1 species